rnacentral:rRNA from 1 species
GUGGGGAAUUUUGCGCAAUGGGGGAAACCCUGACGCAGCAACGCCGCGUGAGUGAUGAAGGCCUUCGGGUCGUAAAGCUCUUUUAGUGGGGAAGAAGCCCUGCAGGACGAAUAAUCCUGCGGUCUGACGGUACCCACAGAAAAAGUUCCGGCUAACUACGUGCCAGCAGCCGCGGUAAUACGUAGGGAGCAAGCGUUGUUCGGAAUUAUUGGGCGUAAAGAGCGCGUAGGCGGUUUGGUAAGUCUGACGUGAAAUCCCGGAGCUUAACUCCGGAACUGCGUUGGAAACUGCCAGGCUUGAGUGUGGGAGAGGAGAGUGGAAUUCCCAGUGUAGAGGUGAAAUUCGUAGAUAUUGGGAGGAACACCGGUGGCGAAGGCGGCUCUCUGGACCACAACUGACGCUGAGGCGCGAAAGCUAGGGUAGCAAACGGGAUUAGA